rnacentral:rRNA from 1 species
AUUGAACGCUAGCGGGAUGCCUUACACAUGCAAGUCGAACGGAGUGGCGAACGGGUGAGUAAUGUAUCGGAACGGGCCCAGUAGCGGGGGAUAACUACGCGAAAGCGUAGCUAAUACCGCAUACUAUUGGAGCGGCCGAUAUCGGAUUAGCUAGUUGGUGGGGUAACGGCUCACCAGGGCGACGAUUCGUAGCGGGGUUGAGAGGACGACCAGCCACACUGGGACUGAGACACGGCCCAGACUCCUACGGGAGGCAGCAGUGGGGAAUUUUGGACAAUGGGGGAAACCCGGAUCCAGCCAGGCCGCGUGUGCGAUGAAGGUCUUCGGGUGGUAAAGCACUUUUGGCAGGAAAGCGGUACCUGCAGAAUAAGCACCGGCUAACUACGUGACAGCAGCCGCGGUAAUAC